GCGUCUGUAGUUCAGCCUGGAUAGAACGUCAGGUUCCGGACCUGAAGGUCGGGGGUUCAAAUCCCUCCAGACGCA
rnacentral:tRNA from 1 species